UACGAAGGGGCUAGCGUUGCUCGGAAUCACUGGGCGUAAAGGGUGCGUAGGCGGGUCUUUAAGUCAGGGGUGAAAUCCUGGAGCUCAACUCCAGAACUGCCUUUGAUACUGAAGAUCUUGAGUUCGGGAGAGGUGAGUGGAACUGCGAGUGUAGAGGUGAAAUUCGUAGAUAUUCGCAAGAACACCAGUGGCGAAGGCGGACUCACUGGCCCGAUACUGACGCUGAGGC
rnacentral:rRNA from 1 species